rnacentral:rRNA from 1 species
CGUGAGAUGUUGGGUUAAGUCCCGCAACGAGCGCAACCCUCGCCUCUAGUUGCCAGCAUUCGGUUGGGCACUCUAGAGGGACUGCCGGCGACAAGUCGGAGGAAGGUGGGGAUGACGUCAAAUCAUCAUGCCCCUUAUGACCUGGGCUACACACGUGCUACAAUGGGCGGUACAAAGGGCUGCGAACCCGCGAGGGGGAGCGAAUCCCAAAAAGCCGCUCUCAGUUCGGAUUGCAGGCUGCAACUCGCCUGCAUGAAGCCGGAAUCGCUAGUAAUCGCGGAUCAGCAUGCCGCGGUGAAUACGUUCCCGGGCCUU